CUCGGUGCGGCACCGGCAU
rnacentral:miRNA from 1 species